rnacentral:ncRNA from 1 species
GAGCCUGAGAAACGGCUACCACAUCCAAGGAAGGCAGCAGGCGCGCAAAUUACCCACUCCCAGCUUGGGGAGGUAGUGACGAAAAAUAACGAGACGAUUCUCGUUUGAGAAACGUUAUCGAAAUGAGUACGCUUUACACACGCUAACGAGUAGCAAUUGGAGGGCAAGUCUGGUGCCAGCAGCCGCGGUAAUUCCAGCUCCAAUAGCGNGGUCGCGACAGUGUUGCUUUGAAGAGUUUUGAGCGUGAGCUCGCUCGGAGCCGCUGUUGGUGCAGAUCUUGGUGGUAGUAGCAAAUAUUCAAGUGAGAACCUUGAAGGCUGAAGUGGAGCAAGGUUCCAUGUGAACAGCAGUUGGACAUGGGUCAGUCGAUCCUAAGAAAACGGCGAAAGCUUGUUCGAAUUUGCGACAUGAAUUGUAAGACUGUGUGAAUUGUGUGUGUGUGCAGUUGUCGUAUGUUUUCGAAAGGGAAUCCGGUUGAUAUUCCGGAACCGAGUAACGGAGACAAAGAGUAGCGCUUUAAUCUCUCUGUGGGGUUGGCGUUCAACUCAAUCGCGCGGUAACGCAAGCGAACUCGGAAAAUGACCGUCGUGAGUUUCGAAAAGAGUUUUCUUUUCUUUUUAAGGGACGCAUUCCCUGGAACCGGGUUGUCCGGAGAUAGGGAUUCUGGUAUCCAUAAAACGCCGACUUUUUCACGGUGUUCGGAGCGCUCUCGUCGGUACGUGAAAAUCCGAGCGACGCCUGGUAAAUCUCGUACUUGGUCGUACUGAUAUCCGCAGCAGGUCUCCAAGGUGAAUAGCCUCUGGCCGAUAGAAUAAUGUAGGUAAGGGAAGUCGGCAAAACGGAUCCGUAACUUCGGAACAAGGAUUGGCUCUAAGGGCUGGGCCGAUCGGGCUGAGGUUUCAAGCGUGCAGUGUAUGCUUGGCUGAGUUGUGUUGAGGACUUGUUCACUUGCCGCCGUUUGUUCGGUUGGUCUAGUGUAUUCGAGUCUGAAGCAGAGCUGGCCGACAGACCGGCACGUGCAGAACCUGAGCUGCGCGGCUGUCCGUUUACGUGUACAGACCGUUUCGGUCGGCAUUCAACAGCCAACUUAGAACUGGCACGGACACAAGGAAUCUGACUGUAUAAUUAAAACAAAGCAUUGCGAUGGCCGAUGAUCGGUGAUGACGCAAUGUGAUUUCUGCCCAGUGCUCUGAAUGUCAAAGUGAAGAAAUUCAAUCAAGCGCGGGUAAACGGCGGGAGUAACUAUGACUCUCUUAAGGUAGCCAAAUGCCUCGUCAUCUAAUUAGUGACGCGUAUGAAUGGAUCAACAAGAUUCCUUCUGUCCCUAUCUACUAUCUAGCGAAACCACAGCCAAGGGAACGGGCUUGGCAAAAUCAGCGGGGAAAGAAGACCCUGUUGAGCUUGACUCUAGUCUGACUCUGUGAAGAGACAUGAAAGGUGUAGCAUAGGUGGGAGAUUGUCAAAUUGCCAUCGUUCGCGCGGUGGUCCGGUGAUCGCCAAUGAAAUACCACUACUUUGAUCGUUUCUUUACUUAUUCGGUAAAGCGAAAAAAUUGUGGCCAAUUUGGCGGUUUAUGUCGCUGUUGGUCAUUGUUUUCAUGUUAGAUUGAAGCUUUGUUUACAGCCGUCGCUUUGUGUCGCCAUUUGACGCAUUGUUGUACUGGGUUAUCCCGGUGUGUGGUGUAGUCAGUAUGGAUGAUCGGCGAUAGGUUUGAAGUGAUUCGCUCCGGAAACAGUGUCAGACGGGGAGUUUGACUGGGGCGGUACAUCUGUUAAACGAUAACGCAGGUGUCCUAAGGUAAGCUCAGCGAGGACAGAAACCUCGCUUAGAGUAAACGGGCACAAGCUUACUUGAUUUUGAUUUCCAGUACGAAUAGAAACCGCGAAAGCGUGGCCUAUCGAUCCUUUUGAUUGUGUAGAUUUCAUGCAAGAGGUGUCAGAAAAGUUACCACAGGGAUAACUGGCUUGUGGCAGCCAAGCGUCCAUAGCGACGUUGCUUUUUGAUCCUUCGAUGUCGGCUCUUCCUAUCAUUGCGAAGCAGAAUUCGCCAAGCGUUGGAUUGUUCACCCACCAAUAGGGAACGUGAGCUGGGUUUAGACCGUCGUGAGACAGGUUAGUUUUACCCUACUGAUGACAAGUCGUUGCGAUAGUAAUCCUGCUCAGUACGAGAGGAACCGCGGGAUCAGACAUUUGGUUCAUGCGCUCGGCUGAAAGGCCGGUGGCGCGAAGCUAGCAUCUGCAAGAUUAUGACUGAACGCCUCUAAGUCAGAAUCUUUUCUAGUCAUUGGCAACGAUAAGUUGCGUCCAGACUCGAUGCGAGGAAACGAUUAGGCUUUGCUAUACGGCGAAGCCAUUAUCAGACCACGGUAGCAGGCAGUAUGGGAUUGUUACGAAAAAGCAAUUUUUUGAAGUCAGUUGAAUUCAAUCAAACUGCUAACAAUUCCACUGCGAAUGACUCCAUUCGAAUCAAUCGAAGCACAGCGGUCAGGAUGUCGAACAUUUUGCAGACGACAAAAAUACCGGUACAGGUGUCGUAAUCAGUAGAGCAGUCAACACACUGCGAUCUGAUGAGACUCAUCCUUGUAAUCGAUUUGCUCGUCGUGUGUAGAUCACAUUUCGUUUUUUUAUUCCAUUGUAAAUAUUGGGAACUUUGUGUAAUUUGAAAAAUUUUUCCAAGUCUGAAAAUUGCACUUGGUAACUUUGUGUAAUUUGAAAAAAAUUUUUCCAAGUCUGAAAAUUGCAUUUGGUAACUUGUGAAAUUUGAAAAAAUUUUUCCAAGUCCGAAAACUGCACUUG